rnacentral:rRNA from 1 species
UACGAAGGGUGCAAGCGUUACUCGGAAUUACUGGGCGUAAAGCGUGCGUAGGUGGUUCGUUAAGUCUGAUGUGAAAGCCCUGGGCUCAACCUGGGAGUGGCAUUGGAUACUGGCGACCUAGAGUGCGGUAGAGGGGUGUGGAAUUCCCGGUGUAGCAGUGAAAUGCGUAGAUAUCGGGAGGAACAUCUGUGGCGAAGGCGACACCCUGGACCAGCACUGACACUGAGGCACGAAAGCGUGGGGAGCAAACAGG